rnacentral:rRNA from 1 species
AAUGGCCUAACGGCUGAACCGGCAAUUUGGAAGAAUGUAAUUGUGUUAAAAUUAUGUAUAAUACAAUAUCGUAAAAGAAUAAAGUUCUAAAUAGAUUAUUGAUAAUGACAGUUUUCUGUUUAUAUGUCUUGACCAAAUCUCGUGCCGGCAGUCGCGGUAAUACGUGGAAGACUAGUGUUAUUCAUCUUUAAUAGGUUUAAAGGGCAACUAGACGGUAUUUCUAGCCAAAUAUGGUACGGAUUUACUAGAGUUUAAUAUGAGAAGACAGUAUUUAUGGUGUAGAGUUAAUAUUCUGUGAUACCUUAAGGACUGGUAAUGGCGAAAGCAGUCUUCUAUGUAAAAACUGACGUUGAGUGACGAAGGCCUGGGUAGCGAGAAGGAUUAGAUACCCUAGUAGUCCAGGCAGAAAAUUAUGAAUGUCAUAAAUUAGAUUAAUUUUAGUUUAUAAAUGAAAGUGUAAGCAUUCCACCUCAAGAGUAAUGCGGCAACGCAGGAACUGAAAUCAUUAGACCGUUUCUGAAACCAGUAGUGAAGUAUGUUAUUUAAUUCGAUAAUCCUCGAAAAACCUUACCACAAUUUGAAUUUCACAAGUGCUGCACGGCUGUCUUCAGUUAAUGUCGUGAGAUCUUGGUUUGUUCCAUUAAAUUAACGUAAACCCUUACUUUAUUUUUUUAUAUAAAGUUGCCCGCCUUAAAAUUGGAUAUGGUAAAAGGGACUAAGACAAGUCAUCAUGGCCUUAAUAUUGU